GAAUCUAAUGGUGUUUACUCGUACAUUUUCAGCUAAAAACAUAAAGCGGAUUUACGUCUGUAAGUGUCUAGUCUAUAUGACAACGCAGUUAUCUCCACCGAACACAGCCACCGCCGUGUUGAAACGGUUCGCAACCUACGUUUUCAAGGUUAAGUAGUGAUAAGAGUAGCAUUCUUCCUUUCUCCCCGGAGAUCUUCUGCAAAAAUUGUGCUGUACAAAGGCGUCUACGAAGGUUAGUAGCCAAAAACAUAAAGCGGAUUUACGUCUGUAAGUGUCUAUAUGACAACGCAGUUAUCUUCACCGAACACAGUCACCGCCGUGUUGAAACGGUUCGCAACGUGUUUUCAGGGUUAAGUAGUGAUAAGAGUAGUAUUCUUCCUUUCUCCCCGAAGAUCUUCUGCAAAAUUUGUGCUGUACGAAAGCGUCUACGAAGGUUAGUAGGUAAAGUACAGAAUGCCUUUUAUUUCGUGUUCCACCUUUUUACUUUAAUGUGAUUGCGUUUUCCAGUUAGAGACAUAAAUCGGCACAAGUAUCAUUCUGUCUUUGUUUAGUGAUUAUUCUGUUUUUAUUCCUCUAAUGAAGAAUAAAAAAUGAAUAAUAAUUGUGUCGCUAACUGGAAAUCGUAAGCAUAUUAAAAUAAAAAGGUAGUACAUGAAAUAUAACUUACCCUGCGUACUAUUAUUUAGAAAAAAUUAAUAUUGCGGUCCACUUAAUGCUGCAAAUGCUUUUAAGCAUUCUACUUAAAUAGUUGUGGUAUACGUCUCGUUUGCAAAUAGGUGAUCGUGAUUGAUUAUAUAAAUUUAUUUC